AUUUCAGCGAACACAAUACAACAUCUCCUCCUCCUCCUCCCACUCGACGAUACCAACCGAGCACCACAGCCGCGAGCGGGUCGACAGGCGAUAAGACAAGCUUCUCAUCUUCGUAGUGGCGUAGGGUCUGCAUGCGUGUCUUUGCCUCUCCUCUCUCUUGCCCUCCGUCACUAUCACUCUUUAUCACGUCGUUCCGCAGAGUUGUCUCGGUGCGCCUCAUCAUGCGUUUUGUGGCUGUCUUGGCGGUGGUGCUGUGCGCCCUUUCCUUUCUCAACGUCGCCGCGGAGCCGGAGGUGACCGCGAAGGUGUAUUUUGAUGUGAUGAUCGAUAGCGAGCCGCUUGGCCGCAUCACCAUCGGCCUGUUCGGCAAGGAUGCGCCGCUCACAACAGAGAACUUCCGGCAGCUCUGCACGGGUGAGCAUGGGUUCGGCUACAAGGACUCCAUCUUCCACCGCGUCAUCCCAAACUUCAUGAUCCAGGGCGGCGACUUCACCAACUUCGAUGGCACGGGCGGCAAGUCGAUCUACGGCGAAAAGUUCGCGGACGAGAACUUGAAGGUAAAACACUUUGUGGGUGCGCUGUCCAUGGCAAACGCCGGCCCCAACACAAACGGCUCGCAGUUCUUCAUCACGACAGCGCCGACGCCGUGGCUUGAUGGCCGCCAUGUGGUUUUCGGCAAGGUGCUUGAUGGUAUGGACGUGGUGCUCCGCAUCGAGAAGACAAAGACGAACAGCCACGAUCGCCCGGUGAAGCCCGUGAAGAUCGUUGCCAGUGGUGAGCUGUAGAGCGCGAAGGAGUGCGCUGGGUGGUGGCAGUGCUGGGUGUGAAGAUGUGCUCAUGUGAUGUGGUCAAGUGCACGGAGAAGCAGCAUGGGGAGAGGCGUAGAGAGGAAGGGGGAGGCUGAGGCGGGAGGUCGCUCAAACUGACAGUGCGGUGCCCUCCCCCACCUCCCCCUCCUCGUUUUCUUUUUUCUGCUUCGAGAGUGCGUGCGCGUGCUCCGCCCCGCUCUUCGCCUCUCGCUGCAUGUCCUCCCCUCCUCUAGCUUGUAGUCUCUCUUCCAUUUUUUCUUCAUGCGUGUGUAUGUAUGCGCCUUCUGGUGAUCUUCUCUUUUCGUGUCUUCACUCUUCUUUCUCUUCCAUGCCCCCCCCCCCCCCCCCACACACACACACACACACCCGCCUUUCUCACUCCCGUCCACCCCCUUCUCCUUGUGCGUACGUUCGAGACGGAGGUGGUGCACGCGCACGUACCCGAGAGAAUGGCCCUCUCCUCCCGAUCGUCGAUGCCAGCACUCCCCUCAUCGUCUCGCAUGGACUCUUUCUCUGUUCUUUUCCCCCCGUGUACGCGUGUGGCGGUGCUGUGGUUGUGUAGGCACGG
rnacentral:misc_RNA from 1 species